rnacentral:rRNA from 1 species
CCGAUAGCGUAUAUUAGUGUUGUUGCGGUUAAAAAGCUCGUAGUUGAAUUUCGGGAUUGGGAUAUAUUGGUCGUGCUUUUAGGGGCAUGAAUCGGUGUGUAGCCAAUUUCUUACCUUCUGGUGAAUUGGGAUGCUUCUUAAUUGGGUGUUUCAAUGAACUAGGACCUUUACUUUGAAAAAAUUAGAGUGUUUAAAGCGGG